rnacentral:lncRNA from 1 species
AAAAUGUUUUCUUUUACAAACUGUGACUUGAAUGUAGAGUUGUCUUAUCGGCACUCAUACCACAUCUUCUUAUUUUUACAACUGAUAUACGUAAGAGGGUAUGGAUGGGAGUUAACAAUAAUGGGCAAAAAAUACAAAGAAUACAGAAAAGGGACAAAAAAUACAUAGAAUAUAGAAAAGGGACAAAAAAUACAAAGAAUACAGAAAAGGGACCCAAAAAAAAGAAUAGUGAAUAAUAAGGUGAUAAAAUAUAAAUAAAAGAGAAAAAUGGCUGAAAAAGUAAAGAAUGCAGUUCAAUGAAAGAACCGCACUCAGUCCCUCAUGGUAGACACAGAAUUAGAUAUUCGACUCAACUCGGUCGAUUCCGUACCCUCAUCAUAGAAGAAGAGUAGCGGAUUCUUCCAAGGAUUGCCGAAUGGGAUUUAGGUACAAGUACUUAUUUAUAGUUUAAUAGAUACAUUCAUUUAGAAACAGAGCGAAC